UGCCCCGUGUGAGGAUUGAACUCACGACCUUUAGAUUAUGAUAUUGACGCGCUACCUACAGCGCUAACGAGAC